rnacentral:rRNA from 1 species
AUACGGAGGAUCCGAGCGUUAUCCGGAUUUAUUGGGUUUAAAGGGAGCGUAGGUGGACAGUUAAGUCAGUUGUGAAAGUUUGCGGCUCAACCGUAAAAUUGCAGUUGAUACUGGCUGUCUUGAGUACAGUAGAGGUGGGCGGAAUUCGUGGUGUAGCGGUGGAAUGCUUAGAUAUCACGAAGAGCUCCGAUUGCGUAGGCAGCUGACCAGACCGCAAAUGACGCUCAUGCACGAAAGUGCGGGGAUCGAACAGGAUUAGAUACCCUGGUAGUCCGCACAGUAAACGAUGAAUACUUGUUUUCGGCGAUAUAAUGUCGGAGGCAAAGCGAAAGCGAUAAGUAUUCCACCUGGGGAGUACGCCGGCAACGGUGAAACUCAAAUGAAUUGACGGGG